rnacentral:snoRNA from 1 species
AGGGUGGACGAGGAUGACAUCGUCUCCCACAUCCUAGCUGGGCUUGAAGAAGACUUCGACCCGGUGCUUUCUGCCAUGUGCUCCCAGGUGGAACCGGUGACUGUGGCCGAGCUGUACUCACAGCUGCUCAGCUUCGAGA